ensembl:lncRNA
AUUGGCUCCAGCCUUGUGCUUGGCACAGAGGGAAAAAAACAACGCGCCUCUAUUGUUGAGGGUGGUUGUACCUGGGCCGGCAAGUGCGACGCAGCGAUGGUGCCGGAGGAGACGGAGAGAAAGACUGGAGCCGGCACAAUGCCGCGGAGCAUCCCACGGAAACGUGUCGGGUAGCGGCAAAAAGAAGAAAAAGAAGAGAAAAAAAGAAAACCCACCCCCCGCGGUACAAGGAAAUCGGCGGGGAAGUGGUGGAGGUUUUGUGUGUGCCUUCAGGGCAACGCAGGGAGAAGCAGCGUCGCUUAUACGAGAUGUUGAUGGAAUUUACUGUAUUAAAAAAAAAGAAAAAGCCCCUUUCAAGAAUAAAGUGUAUCAACUUACAACCCAGCAGACGGCAGAGGGAUAAGUGAAACAGACAAAAGACAAACAAGAUAAUAAUCUGUUUCCAAUCAGUUAAGCCCUGUAGAAUUUGUAAUACGCGGUUUGCAUAUUCCCCCUGUGUUUUGUAAUUAAUUAUCUAUCUGUUAGGAUGCUCCGCCGGCGACUUGGGUUGAUAUCUCCAACUCUU